rnacentral:rRNA from 1 species
UUUGUAUAAUGGGUCAGCGACUUAUAUUCAGUGGCAAGGUUAACCAUCUAGGGGAGCCGUAGGGAAACCGAGUCUUAACUGGGCGUUCAGUCUCUGGAUAUAGACCCGAAACCAGGUGAUCUAGCCAUGGGCAGGUUGAAGGUUGAGUAACAUCAACUGGAGGACCGAACCGACUAAUGUUGAAAAAUUAGCGGAUGACUUGUGGCUAGGGGUGAAAGGCCAAUCAAACCUGGAGAUAGCUGGUUCUCCCCGAAAGCUAUUUAGGUAGCGCCUCGGACGAAUACUACUGGGGGUAGAGCACUGUUAAGGCUAGGGGGUCAUCCCGACUUACCAACCCUUUGCAAACUCCGAAUACCAGUAAGUACUAUCCGGGAGACACACGGCGGGUGCUAACGUCCGUCGUGGAGAGGGAAACAACCCAGACCGCCAGCUAAGGUCCCAAAUUACUACUAAGUGGGAAACGAUGUGGGAAGGCUCAGACAGCCAGGAUGUUGGCUUAGAAGCAGCCAUCAUUUAAAGAAAGCGUAAUAGCUCACUGGUCGAGUCGGCCUGCGCGGAAGAUGUAACGGGGCUAAGUAGUAAACCGAAGCUGCGGCAAUAUACUUUUGUAUAUUGGGUAGGGGAGCGUUCUGUAAGCGGUUGAAGGUGUGUGGUAACGCAUGCUGGACGUAUCAGAAGUGCGAAUGCUGACAUGAGUAACGAUAAAGGGGGUGAAAAACCUCCUCGCCGGAAGACCAAGGGUUCCUGUCCAACGUUAAUCGGGGCAGGGUAAGUCGACCCCUAAGGCGAGGCCGAAAGGCGUAGUCGAUGGGAAACGGGUUAAUAUUCCCGUACUUCUUACAAUUGCGAUGGGGGGACGGAGAAGGCUAGGUGGGCCUGGCGACGGUUGUCCAGGUUCAAGUGCGUAGGCUGAGAGAUUAGGUAAAUCCGGUUUCUCUUAAGGCUGAGACACGACGUCGAGCACCUACGGGUGUGAAGUCAUUGAUGCCAUGCUUCCAGGAAAAGCCUCUAAGCUUCAGAUUGUAAGGAAUCGUACCCCAAACCGACACAGGUGGUCGGGUAGAGAAUACCAAGGCGCUUGAGAGAACUCGGGUGAAGGAACUAGGCAAAAUGGUACCGUAA